GGAAACGACUGCUAAUACCGCAUAAGCCCACAGCUCGGCAUCGAGCAGGAGGGAAAAGGAGUGAUCCGCUUUGAGAUGGCCUUCGCGUCCGAUUAGCUAGUUGGUGAGGUAAUGGCCCACCAAGGCGACGAUCGGUAGCCGGACUGAGAGGUUGAACGGCCACAUUGGGACUGAGACACGGCCCAGACUCCUACGGGAGGCAGCAGUGGGGAAUAUUGCACAAUGGGGGAAACCCUGAUGCAGCGACGCCGCGUGGAGGAAGAAGGUCUUCGGAUUGUAAACUCCUGUUGUUGAGGAAGAUAAUGACGGUACUCAACAAGGAAGUGACGGCUAACUACGUGCCAGCAGCCGCGGUAAAACGUAGGUCACAAGCGUUGUCCGGAAUUACUGGGUGUAAAGGGAGCGCAGGCGGGAGAACAAGUUGGAAGUGAAAUCCAUGGGCUCAACCCAUGAACUGCUUUCAAAACUGUUUUUCUUGAGUAGUGCAGAGGUAGGCGGAAUUCCCGGUGUAGCGGUGGAAUGCGUAGAUAUCGGGAGGAACACCAGUGGCGAAGGCGGCCUACUGGGCACCAACUGACGCUGAGGCUCGAAAGUGUGGGUAGCAAACAGGAUUAGAUACCCUGG
rnacentral:rRNA from 1 species